CCUACGGGAGGCAGCAGUGGGGAAUAUUGGACAAUGGGGGCAACCCUGAUCCAGCCAUGCCGCGUGUGUGAAGAAGGCCCUCGGGUUGUAAAGCACUUUCAGUGAGGAAGAACGCCUGGUGGUUAAUACCCAUCAGGAAAGACAUCACUCACAGAAGAAGCACCGGCUAACUCCGUGCCAGCAGCCGCGGUAAUACGGAGGGGUGCGAGCGUUAAUCGGAAUUACUGGGCGUAAAGCGCGCGUAGGUGGCUUGAUAAGCCGGUUGUGAAAGCCCCGGGCUCAACCUGGGAACGGCAUCCGGAACUGUCAAGCUAGAGUGCAGGAGAGGAAGGUAGAAUUCCCGGUGUAGCGGUGAAAUGCGUAGAGAUCGGGAGGAAUACCAGUGGCGAAGGCGGCCUUCUGGACUGACACUGACACUGAGGUGCGAAAGCGUGGGUAGCAAACAGGAUUAGAUACCCCAGUAGUC
rnacentral:rRNA from 1 species